GAUGAACGCUGGCGGCGUGCCUAAAACAUGCAAGUCGUGCGGCAGCAUGCCCUUCGGGGUGAUGGCGAGCGGCGGACGGCUGAGUAACACGUGGGAAUCUGCCCCGAAGUGAGGGAUAACUGCUCGAAAGAGUAGCUAAUACCGCAUAUGGUCUACGGAUUAAAGCUUCGGCGCUACGGGAGGAGCCCGCGUAAGAUUAGAUAGUUGGUGAGGUAAUGGCUCACCAAGUCGACGAUCUUUAACUGGUUUGAGAGGAUGAUCAGUCAGACUGGAACUGAGACACGGUCCAAACUCCUACGGGAGGCAGCAGUUAGGAAUAUUCCACAAUGGGGGCAACCCUGAUGGAGCAACGCCGCGUGGAGGAUGAAGGCCUUCGGGUUGUAAACUUCUUUUCUAUGCGAAGAAUAUGACGGUAACAUAGGAAUAAGGGUCUGCUAACUACGUGCCAGCAGCAGCCGCC
rnacentral:rRNA from 1 species